UGGUGGGGCGAUUUGUCUGGUCAAUUCCGAUAACGAGCGAGACUCUAGCCUACUAAAUAGUUCGGGGACCCCCACAAAGGGGCCCCGCUUCAACUUCUUAGAGGGACAGGUGGCGUUUAGCCACACGAGAUUGAGCAAUAACA
rnacentral:rRNA from 1 species